AAGUCGUAACAAGGUUUCCGUAGGUGAACCUGCGGAAGGAUCAUUACCGUAUCUCUGACGGUGCGGGUGCCGCCCUGCCCCGGCCCCACGAGGCCGUGCAGCGGGCAGCGCUCGUGCUGCUCAACCCUUUGCAAACCCCCACUGUGAACCUUUUGCAGCUUAGGGUGCCGGCGAGAGCUUGCGCCCAAAGCCGCAUUUACCAACAGACUCCUGUAAACAAAAGAAUGCCUCUGGUGGCCCUCUGUGGCUGCCAUAUAAACGUGACAACUUUCAACAACGGAUCUCUUGGCUCUC
rnacentral:misc_RNA from 1 species